UACGUAGGGGGCAAGCGUUGUCCGGAUUUAUUGGGCGUAAAGAGCGUGUAGGCGGUUAGGUAGGUCCGUUGUGAAAACUGGAGGCUUAACCUCCAGACGUCGACGGAAACCGCGUGGCUAGAGUCCGGAAGAGGAGAGUGGAAUUCCUGGUGUAGCGGUGAAAUGCGCAGAUAUCAGGAAGAACACCAAUGGCGAAGGCAGCUCUCGUGGGACGGUACUGACGCUGAGACGCGAAAGCGUGGGGAGCGAACAGG
rnacentral:rRNA from 1 species